GAACUUUGCUCCAUAAUCUCUAAAGGAAGAUUCCCAUCUCACCUUUUGUUACUAUGGAGAUGUGAUGUGGAAAAUUCACACCUUUUGUUACUAUGGAGAUAUGAUAUGGAAAAUUCAUAACAAAAAAUAAUGAAUUUCUAUUCUACCCUUACUAGCACAUUGUUCAUGAGAAUGUUACUUGCCCAAGUUACUAAUAUAUCUAACCUUCAAUUUUCCCCUGUACAAAAAAUGGAAGAAGAUAAUCUAAUUUACAAAGUUAGCAUAUAGACUGAUGUACAUAAAGUACCUAGCACCGUGCCUAGUAUGUAGUAAAAUUGAUUGUGUAAAUAUAAAUAGUAGACUCUAGGGGGUCUCUUUAACCCUGGGUUUCUAUUGACAUAAUUUUCCUACUAACACAGAUCUGAAAAUAGUAAUAGUGACCCCACAAUAAUAUUUCAUCAUAAUUUCUGCAACCCCUCCCUUAGAGUUAUUUUUUUGUUUGUUUGUUUUAAUGAACCAAAUAAGGAGAAAAGAUUCUUUGUUGUUUUCCCUCUCUUUAAGGUGUAUGUGAACUCUCACAUAAUCUCAUUCAAUAUUACCAAUUGUUGUCAAACUCAGAAGAUAAUGGGUGAAAUUUCAAGUUAUAAUAAUAUAACAGAUUAUAGGGAAUAAGGACAGGCUUUGGACAUAUUUCAAAUAUCUUGGCUUCUUGAGAAAGCAGAUACUAAAUCUGUCACUAGACUCAGAAUCAAGUAGUCAGCCUUUGGCCCUAUUCCAGUAUAUAAUGGAACAAAUUCCAGACCUCUCCAAGAGUAAUUCUUUUUGCAGUCCAGAGACAUAAGGCUGCUAUAGUUAGAUGUUAAUAAAAGAUCUAAAUGCAGUGGAGCAAAAGACAGGAGGAGAAAGUCUUGGUGAGUAAGCCAAAUGGGCCAGCUAUCUGUCGUCUGGCAGCUGUCAGGAAGAAAGAGCAAAGAAUAGAAUUAUAAAGCAUGGCUACAUUUGCAGAUUAAAGAAAAUAACUCAUUUUCAGAUAAUUUUAAGAAAAUCAGAGUUAUAUACAGCUAUAAAGUUAAAGUUAUAGAGAUUAAGUAUAUAUUAUGUAAAAACGAAAAAAUAGAAUUCAAGAAUUUGGUGAAAAUUCUCUCAAUCCAAAAUUGUUCUUCUGUAAUGAAAUUAUAACUUCCAUCAUUUAUUAUUUCCAUUAAAAUGGAAGUCUGGUCUGAUUAGCUCAACAUAGAAUUUAAAAUUUAAAUCUUUAAAUUGAAUCCUGAUAUUACAUGGUUAUUCAGGCCAGGUGUAUGUUAAAGUAGACAGUAGCAUGUAGAUAAUAAUAAACAUCAUUUCUUGAACUAAUUCCUCCAGGGUAAUUUUAUUGGUGACCACAUGAUUGAGGUAAUGGUUGGUUCUGGUCAAUUAAAUUAAGUAAAUGCAAUUCUUUUCUAAUUUGAACAAUUUCAUUCAGAAUUAAAGUUAAAAAUAUUUUUCUAUAUUAAGCUACUCCAUCAGGAAAUUAUGAAAAAUUAUCAACUGAAGUUGAAAAAUAAAUGUCAAUGAGAAAUCCCCAACUAUAUGUGCAGUAAUUUAGGAUAUGUUUAUUCAUUCCAUUCUCAUAAUCAGUUAUGUAGAAAUUCAUAUCUACCAAAGCACAGUUUUAAAGUAAAGAUCUGGGAAGUUUCUUGGCAUCAAACUAAUGGUUACAGAAUAAUAUCAAUGUCACUUCCACAAUGCUUAAAUAUUCGUAGGUGACUAAAAUUGAUAUGUACCAAUUCCAACAAGGUAGAUCAUUGUAGAAGUGACUCACACCUAGGACUCUAUACCAAAUAUUAAACCUAAAUCUCAACAAAAAGGAGUAAAACAAGAAUUUGACUAUGCAAAGUAUGAAGAAUAUGAAGAAAUUUGAUGUCAAAAAGGCAAACGAAAUUUCAUAAAUGGAAAACACAAACAUUUGUGCAAAAACACAAAUUGAAUUUAUAUUAAAUCUAGAUUUAAUAUACAUUAGUAAACAUUAAACAUAUAAACAAUAAAGAUGGGUAGCAAAGAAUAUUUUCUAUAGGAAUGACAUUAUGGAAAAUGACAGAGUAGGACAUUCAAAUAAAUGGCCCCUCCCCUGAAAGAAAGAUAUACUCACAAAGAUUCACUAAUUCAAUUUUUCUUUGGAAAUGUGGGAACUAAUCCAAAACUUUCAUCGACCAGAGGACUACUUACUAAAGAAAAGCAAUUUCUAUGGUAUAUCCACUCACAUACUAUCUCCUAUUCUCCAGUAGCCAGUGUCCCCAGUGUAGGUGGCUGGUUCAGAGGGCUAAUACUGAUCUUGUUCUUAAAAUACUGUGGUUGUGCUUUUUCAAUAUGAAUUUUAGUGUAUAUUUGACUUACAAAUUUGUUUUAGUUUCAGGUGAACAACAAAGUAAAUCAGAUUCUUUUCCCAUAGAGGUUGUUACACAGUAUUGAAUACAUUAUCCUAUGCUAUACGAUCAUGAAAAUGAAGGAAAAAUGGAGAAAUUCUUCCAAAUUGAAGGCUACUAAAGAGACAUGACAAAUACUAUACUGUAUCAUCUUGGACUGGAAUCUUUCUAUAAAUGCCAUUGUUGGAAUAACUGGUUAUUUCUAAAUGGAAUCUGGAUUAGAUGAUUUUAAGUGUAUUGAUGUUAAUAUCCUGAUUUUGAUUGUGACUCUAUGGCUGUGGUCUUUUAAAUGCAUGCUAGUUUUCAAAGACAAUGGGAAUAAUGCAGUAGUUAGAGAAUGUUAUAAAGUGCUAAGAAUAGUGAAAUUAAGGUAGUAAAGGUUGUUAUUUGUGUUUAAUCUUCCCAUACCACUUUAAUGCAUGUAUUCCUGGGUUCCAUCGAUUUAAAUCUGCUGAUCCCUGUAAACAUGCUUGCCUUUGCAAUUCUGUUCACUUUCUUGGUUGUAACUUCUACUUUGUUUUUAAUGAAUUGCAAAUCCAUACAUUCACUCCAGGACUUGUUCUUAGCGUCCCACU
rnacentral:lncRNA from 1 species